CACGACUCUCGGCAAUGAAUAUCUUGGCUCUUGCAUCGAUGAAGAACGUAGCAAAAUGCGAUACUUGGUGUGAAUUGCAGAAUCCCGUGAACCAUCGAGUCUUUGAACACAAGUUGCGCCCGAGACCUUUAGGUUGAGGGCACACCUGCUUGGGCGUCAUGC
rnacentral:rRNA from 1 species